rnacentral:rRNA from 1 species
UACGUAGGGUGCGAGCGUUAAUCGGAAUUACUGGGCGUAAAGCGUGCGCAGGCGGUUGUGCAAGACAGAUGUGAAAUCCCCGGGCUCAACCUGGGAGUUGCAUUUGUGACUGCACGGCUAGAGUGUGUCAGAGGGGGGUAGAAUUCCACGUGUAGCAGUGAAAUGCGUAGAGAUGUGGAGGAAUACCGAUGGCGAAGGCAGCCCCCUGGGAUAACACUGACGCUCAUGCACGAAAGCGUGGGGAGCAAACAGG